rnacentral:tRNA from 1 species
GGAGGUGUAGCUCAGUGGUAGAGCACUUGCCUGGCAUGCAUGAGGCCCUGGGUUCAAUACUCAGCACCACAA